AUUGAACGCUGGCGGCAGGCCUAACACAUGCAAGUCGAGCGGGGUUUUCGGACCUAGCGGCGGACGGGUGAGUAAUGCGUAGGAAGCUACCCGACAGAGGGGGAUACCAGUUGGAAACGACUGUUAAUACCGCAUAAUGUCUACGGACCAAAGUGUGGGACCUUCGGGCCACAUGCUAUCGGAUGCGCCUACGUGGGAUUAGCUAGUUGGUGAGGUAAUGGCUCACCAAGGCGACGAUCUCUAGCUGGUUUGAGAGGAUGAUCAGCCACACUGGAACUGAGACACGGUCCAGACUCCUACGGGAGGCAGCAGUGGGGAAUAUUGGACAAUGGGCGCAAGCCUGAUCCAGCCAUGCCGCGUGUGUGAAGGAGGCCUUCGGGUUGUAAAGCACUUUCAGCGAGGAGGAAGGGUGGUGUGUUAAUAGCACAUCAUUUUGACGUUACUCGCAGAAGAAGCACCGGCUAACUCUGUGCCAGCAGCCGCGGUAACAC
rnacentral:rRNA from 1 species